rnacentral:rRNA from 1 species
AUUGAACGCUGGCGGCAGGCCUAACACAUGCAAGUCGACUUCUAGAUCGGGUGAGUAACGCGUGGGAACGUACCUUUUGGUUCGGAACAACACAGGGCAGCUUGUGCUAAUAACGGUCCGAAAGAUCGGCCCGCGUCUGAUUAGCUAGUUGGUGAGGUAAUGGCGCACCAAUGCGACGAUCAGUAGCUGGUCUGAAGGAUGAUCAGCCACAUUGGGACUGAGACACGGCCCAAACUCCCACGGGAGGCAGCGGUGGAGAAUAUUGGAAAGGGGGGCAACCUGAUCCAGCCAUGCCGCGGGAGUGAUGAAGGCCCUAGGGUUGUAAAGCUCUUUUGUGCGGGAAGCGGUACCGCAGGAAUACGCCCCUGCUAACUUCGUGCCAGCAGCCGCGGUAAUAC